GCCUUAGUAGCGCAGUAGGUAGCGCGUCAGUCUCAUAAUCUGAAGGUCGUGAGUUCAAUCCUCACCUGGGGCA
rnacentral:tRNA from 1 species